rnacentral:lncRNA from 12 species
AUAUUUGGUGGCGAUACACAGCAAAGACUGCAGGUUUGCAUGUCUAACGCAGCUGCCUCCUGCAGGCACUGUGAACUUCCUGGAACUUUUUGCAUGCAUUUUUCCCCCCAUAUUUUUCCUUCAAUAUCCUUUUUGGAAACGAAGCCUGAAGGAAGUAAAUUUCAGAGAUUGUGUGAAGGUCGCUGGAGCCAGGAGGAAAUUAAGCCUGUUCUGAAGUCCCAGCCACAAGAUGGUGAGGGAUUGUGUUUCUAUCCUCCAGAUAACCCAGAGGGGACAGUACAAAUCACAGAUCCAACUGAGAAUAACACUUUGUGGUGCAACUUGGAGGAACCGGCAGGAAAAAGAUCCUGGUUGCAUACUGGGCGAGAGGAAGCAACACCAAACAUCCACUGACGUGAUUUGUUUGGCAAGGUGCUAUCCUACGUACUGAGAGUAGAAGCCCGCCUUCAACCGUCUUACAGUCUACUUGGAGCAGCAAAUGCGCACAUGCACAUGCACACACACAUACCUUGCAACGUAAUUGUGUGUAAUUAAUAACGCACCAGCAAUGUCUCUAGAAAAUGUAUAGAUAUAACAAGUAAUUUAAUUUAGACACAGAUUUAUAUUGUCCAAGCACCAUUCUCAUGGAGAAUUCCUUUUCUGGUUUUCCUAUUCUAUGGACUAAACUUUUGUCUAAAAUUGUAGCAACUGAGGCCCAUCUAUUUCAGGGAUGGAUCUAUAAGUUAACAUAAAGAUUAACAAAUAAAUUAAUAAACAAAUUAAUUUAAAAAGAUUAA